GAUGAACGCUGGCGGCGUGCAUAACACAUUCAAGUCGAACGGUGACGGGACUUCGGUCCCUGAUCAGUGGCGGACGGGUGAGUAACGCGUGAGCAACCUGCCCUUAUGUUCGGGAUAACGACCGGAAACAGUCGCUAAUACCGAAUAACAUAUUCUGAUUGCAUGGUUGGGAUAUCAAAGAUUUAUUGCAUAAGGAUGGGCUCGCGUCCCAUUAGAUAGUUGGUGAGGUAACGGCUCACCAAGUCGACGAUGGGUAGCCGGACUGAGAGGUUGAACGGCCACAUUGGAACUGAGAUACGGUCCAGACUCCUACGGGAGGCAGCAGUGGGGAAUAUUGGGGCAAUGGGGGAAACCCUGACCCAGCGACGCCGCGUGCGGGAAGAAGGUCUUCGGGAUUGUAAACCUUUGUUGACAGGGAAGAAUAAAGUGACGGUACCUGUCGAGGAAGCCACGGCUAACUACGGUG
rnacentral:rRNA from 1 species